rnacentral:pre_miRNA from 1 species
AAUUUCAGCUGGAAAAGUCAUGAACAUAAAAGUUGUAGAACACAUCAAGACAUACAACUUUUAUUUUGAUCAUUUCUUCAUCCGAUAAAGUUAUAGUAAAAUUGUUCACAAAAUUUGUAUAUUUCUCUUAUAGUUUAUAAAACCAUAUGAGAGAAAUGUAAAUUUUGUGAACAAUGUUACUAUCACUUCAUCGAAUGAUGAAAUGAUUAAAAUAAAAGUUAUAAAUCUUGAUGAGUUAUACAACUUUUUAUUGUUGAUGACUUUUUCAGUUGAAAUC